GAGGGUGUAGCUCAGUGGUAGAGUGCAUGCCUAGCAUGCACAAGGGCCUGGGUUCAAAUCCUAGUACCUCUU
rnacentral:tRNA from 1 species